rnacentral:rRNA from 1 species
UACGGGGGGGAGCAAGCGUUGUUCGGAUUUACUGGGCGUAAAGGGCGCGUAGGCGGUCCGACAAGUCAGGGGUGAAAUCCUGCAGCUUAACUGCAGAAGUGCCUUUGAUACUGUCGGUCUUGAGGGAGAUAGGGGUGUGCGGAACUCACAGUGGAGCGGUGAAAUGCGUUGAUAUUGUGAGGAACGCCGGAGGCGAAAGCGGCGCACUGGAUCUCGUUCUGACGCUGAGGCGCGAAAGCUAGGGGAGCAAACGGGG